rnacentral:rRNA from 1 species
CAGUAGGGAAUCUUCCACAAUGGACGAAAGUCUGAUGGAGCAACGCCGCGUGCAGGAUGAAUGCCUUCGGGUUGUAAACUGCUUUUAUCUGUGACGAUUAUGACGGUAGCAGAUGAAUAAGGAUCGGCUAACUCCGUGCCAGCAGCCGCGGUCAUACGGAGGAUCCAAGCGUUAUCCGGAAUUACUGGGCGUAAAGAGUUGCGUAGGUGGCACUGUAAGUUGUUAGUGAAAGCGUCCGGCUCAACCGGAUACACAUUACCAAAACUGCAGAGCUAGAGGACGAGAGAGGUAAUUGGAAUUCCUAGUGUAGGAGUGAAAUCCGUAGAUAUUAGGAGGAACACCGAUGGCGUAGGCAGAUUACUGGCUCGUUCCUGACACUAAGGCACGAAAGCGUGGGUAGCAAACGGGAUUAGA